GCUGCUGGGACCAUCUAUAACAGGAAAGAAAAACAUGGAUACUCAUUGGUCAAUGUUGGAGUGAAUUAAGCAUACUCUACUGUCGGUGCCCCUGAUUAUAUUGCUUCAGAGGUUUUGCUGAAGACGGGUUGUGGAAUGGAAUGUGAUUGGUGGUCACUUGGUCAUCAUAUUUGUAGUGUAAGAGUUCCUGUCAUACCUUUUAGUAAAUUUGUCUCUCUUGCUUCAAAUUUGCAGUGUAGUCUUAGGCUCCAUUUGGUCAUCACAUCAAUCUUUAUGAAUAUAUUUUUUUCUCAAACCAAAUGGAGCGUAAGCCAUUUUUCAACUCUGCCAUUGCAACUUCUUGCAUUGCCGGU